UUGGAGGGCAAGUCUGGUGCCAGCAGCCGCGGUAAUUCCAGCUCCAAUAGCGUAUAUUAAAGUUGUUGCAGUUAAAAAGCUCGUAGUUGAAUUUCGGGGUUCAUACGUUGGUCGGGCUUUUUGGUCUGUACUAGCGUAAUGGAUUCCUACCUUCUGAAUAACCGGCAUGUCAUUAAUUUGGUGCGCCGGGGAAGCAGGACUGUUACCUUGAAAAAAUUAGAGUGCUUAAAGCAGGCUAUCGCCUGAAUACAUUAGCAUGGAAUAAUGAAAUAGGACGGCAUGGUUCUAUUUUGUUGGUUUCUAGGAUCACCGUAAUGAUUAAUAGGGAUAGUUGGGGGCAUUAGUAUUCAAUUGUCAGAGGUGAAAUUCUUGGAUUUAUUGAAGACUAACUUCUGCGAAAGCAUUUGCCAAGGAUGUUUUCAUUAAUCAAGAACGAAAGUUAGGGGAUCGAAGACGAUCAGAUACCGUCGUAGUCUUAACCAUAAACUAUGCCGACUAGGGAUCGGACGAUGUUAAUUUUUUAAUGACUCGUUCGGCGCCUUACGGGAAAC
rnacentral:rRNA from 2 species